AUUGAACGCUGGCGGCAGGCCUAACACAUGCAAGUCGAACGAGUGGCGGACGGGUGAGUAAUGUCUGGGAAACUGCCCGAUGGCGGGGGAUAACUACUGGAAACGGUAGCUAAUCCCGCAUACCAUCAGAUGUGCCCAGAUGGGAUUAGCUAGUAGGUGGGGUAAAGGCUCACCUAGGCGACGAUCACUAGCUGGUCUGAGAGGAUGACCGUCCACACUGGAACUGAGACACGGUCCAGACUCCUACGGUAGGCAGCAGUGGGGAAUAUUGCACAAUGGGCUCAAGCCUGAUGCAGCCAUGCCGCGUGUAUGAAGAAGGCCUUCGGGUUGUAAAGUACUUUCAGCGGGGAGGCGUUACCCGCAGAAGAAGCACCGGCUAACUCCGUGCCAGCAGCCGCGGUAAUUC
rnacentral:rRNA from 1 species